GAAUCACACACACAACCAUAUAAUUUCUCCAAGAGUCGACGUCGUCGUCGACGCUCAUGCUUGGGAGCAGCGACUGCAGCUAAGCUAUAGCAGCAUCAAACCGAAACAGCAAUACAAACAGCAAAUUGUUUCGCUUGGAAUCGCGAGCAAAGAGGGUCGAGCGUUCGCUGUGCUAAACGUCGUCGCCUCGCUACGAUUCAUAUACAAUUAAAAAAUGUUUUUUAAUUAAAGGCAGCGAUAAGUAGCAGCUGCAGCGAAAUGCUAUAAUCUAACCGGGUCAGAACGGACAAUAUACGGAAUUAAAAAAGACGAGGAAGCGAAUUAAAAGUAAAACAAAUAGAAAUCUGUGUAAAUAUAGUAUAUUUUGUGAAAAAUUUGUCUUAUUUUCUGGUUGGUUAACUUUUGGGCUAGCAACGAUCCCAAAUUGCAUAACACAGUGGUAUAUGUGUAAUAAGUAUAAGUGUAAGUGAAUGUUUGAGUGUUGGUUUAUUGUCGCAUUACCUGUGGUGGAAUUAUAGAAGACAUCAAAACUCGUAAGUUGAGUUGAAUGGCGCUUGCUAGAGCAAGGAGAGGAAAUGUACAAAAUAUAUGAGGAAGGCAAGCAAACUAAAAUAUAGGAGAAGAACGACGAUGUAGAAAUCUAUAUACAAAACACAAUCUAUCUCAGUGGUAUACCAUUGUGAACCCUUUUAUUAAAAAUAGUAGUAGUUUGAGGAGGAAUAUUAGAAAGCAAUCUGUACACUGCACAUACAACAUUACCUAAACUCUGUGAACGGACAAUAAUUGGACAGCAAGCUUCGAGUGUACGCUUUAUGCUUUUCCAUUAGAUCAUAGUGACUGAGUCAAACAGUCCCACCGGCAUAAUUGGCGAUUUGUAUGUGAAAGUAGUCGUAGAAUCGUAUGAACGCUGCUUUUUUCAAACACUUGUGAUUAGCAAAAUGACCGGCAUGUUAAGCGUAACCAUGUAAAUAAUGAAUAAGUCACAAUAGUUUUGAUUUAUAUCAUGCAAACAAAGAUGAAUGGGAAACAAUAGCCAGCAUAUCUAAUUAACAUCUUGACGUUCAAAACCAGAGCCAACACAUACAUGAGCAGCAAUAAAAUAAACAAAGCCGUCGAAUUUAUUCACCACCCUAGUGUGCCCCAACAACUAUUGGCGUUGUCGUCGCUGCAGCCACCACUCUGUUCUGCGCAGGCAGAGAGUUACGAAGAGAAAAGUGCAGCGUAGUUUGUCUAAAACUACAUAAAAUCAUUAGCAAUAGAGUGGACAUAGCAGUUAAUACUGAAUUUGGCUAUUAUUCUAACUCGAUACAUCGCUUUUAAGCCCCAUAGCAAAUAGCUUGAAAUUUCAGCAAAGCAGAAAACAGGAUUUACUCAUAUAAUUUAGUCAAAUUAGAUUUAACAACGUAACCCAUCAGUAUUGUAUCAAUAAACUCAGCGAAUGUGAGCAAGAUAGAAAUUGUGUUUCGACGCGUUAAUAUUAUAUGCCAAGUGUAUGUGUGAGAGGGAGCGAGCUCAAGCGUAUCAAUUUAGUGUGGUGAAGAACAAGUGACCGAAGAACGGCAGCAGCUAAACGCCAGCAAAGCUUAACGAGUAAGCAGGUGCGUUACAUUAAUUCGUACUUUUGCAGUAUUGGCGUACUCGUUCGUGUUUGUAUGCAUGAAGUGGCGUAUUGUUUUUAACAGAAACUGUGCUGAAUUGGAGUGAGCCGACCCGCGUGAGUGUGUGCUGCGUGCUGCGUGUCUGAUUACUAGUGUCUGCCAACUGCUAAACAGAGUCAACCAACAACACAUCGUCGGUUCAUUGCAAAGUAGCAGAGCGAAGCGACAUUCAUCUUCAUCGGUUAAAUCGGUCGGGAUAUGGCCGUGUUCUUAAUAAACAUUUGCAAAUUUAAUGGAUGCGGUAUCACGUUUCCUAGUUUAGGAGAUUUAAUACAACAUAUUGAGGAUACGCAUAUCGACUAUGAUCCUAAAGUGGUCGAACAGAAAGAGCAGGCGCAGCCUGCAUGCCUGCCGUUAAGCUAUGUGCUUCGUUUUAUAUCCGAAGAUGCACGCAAGGAGGCUCCAUUCCUAUCCACCAAUACGUCGGGCGUUGAACUCAAGCGGAAGUUGGCGAUCAAACAUCACAGUUACAGUAUGUCGUCGUCAAAUCGCAGCAAUACGCCCACUGGCAGCGAAAUGGACGAUGAUGAAAUGGUUGUCUCGGAGUCUGAGGAUAGCAAUGAUUCAUGGACAACUGAAGAAUUCAGUUCUGAAUUCAUAAUGCGUUAUGGGAGCAGGCAUUCUGGUACCGGCAGUAAUGGUGCACCGGGUAAUGAGAAACCGUUUGCAUGUCCUGUGCCUGGUUGCAAAAAGCGUUAUAAGAAUGUCAACGGCAUCAAGUAUCAUUCGAAAAAUGGCCACAAAAAAGAUGGAAAAGUUCGCAAAGGCUAUAAGUGCCACUGUGGUAAAAGCUACAAGACCGCACAGGGCCUGAAGAAUCAUGCUUUAGUGGCACAUAAUUCCUCGCCGGAGAGCGUCCUGAGUACACAACAUGUGUCCAAUAUAACAACUGCCAGCAAUGGCACUGGUGUUAACAUGAGCUCAGGCAUUAUCUUGCAACGUAGCAGCUCGCCCUCGCAGUCGUUGGGAUCACUUAGUCCAUCCAGCAUCAGCAACAUGUCGAGUAGUGCCAGCAGCUGUCACGGUAGUGCCAGCAGCAACACACACAACAGCAAUAGCAAUUCUGCUGGCAAUAAUAAUGUUGGUGGCAGCAGCAACACUACAUCCGCUGUUGCCACCAGCAAUAUGUUGCAACAAUUAACAAAUGGCACACUAUCCAAUGGUAGCCCUAAUGUUGUUGCCACAACAAAUGGUGUGGGUGGUCUAGGUUUACAUCAUCACCAGCAUCACUCGCAGCAGCAACAGCAGCAGCAACAACAUCAGUUUAAUAACCAACAACAACAACCACAUUUGCAUAGCCUAGGAUCGUCGUCAGCAACAACAACAACAUCAGAACAAAUAAAUGUAAACACCUCCGCCGCCUGCAUGCCUUACAAUAAUGGGCAACUUCUCUCUGGUGCUACGCCAAUCGCCAACGCUUGUUCGAAUGUCGCUGCCUCACCAGUGGCUACCGUUGCGGUCAGCAUGAAUGGCACACCAAUUAAUACAGUGGCUAAUGCUGCUGCUUGUGGUGUCAACAGCAAUAAUAAUAACAAUAACAAUAUAAAUAUGAAUAUGAAUAUUACUAUGACGCCUAACAUCUAUGGCGCUCCGCCCAUGAUUUCACCUACUUUCAUUGAACACAAGUACUCGGCGAAUACGUUUAAAGAGAAAUUUUUGGCCAAUUUACGUGCCAAUCAAAAUGCUGUGAAUAAAUCAAAUAUGAACAACAACAAUAAUAAUAAUAAUAACUGUAGCAGUAAUAAUAACAAGAAUAUCAAUAACAAACAAUCAACAUAUAACAAUAACAACAAUAAUAAUAAUGAUAAUAAUCUAAAUAGUAAUAUAAAUGCAAAUGCAAUCGGAAAUGAUUGUGACGAUGGAGCCGGUGGUGGUACGUUAGGUCAGCUUCACACUACUAACGUCCCAACAAUUGGCGCUACCCACAGCAUUGAUGACAUUAUACAACAACAAUUUAGUGAAAACUACAAUAGAAAGAUAAUGUACCAGAAGACAAUAAAUUAAAAGCUACAUUUGGGGAGGUGAGUGCAAAUGCGGCGUUGCGUGCAAUAGGAGAAUAUGUGUUAUAUGUACUUAUAUAAUGGCAUAGUAUUUUUGGCUGUGACGGAAUAGACGAAAGUCUACAGGAAGAGAAUGCAAUGCACAGCGGCAAGAGGACAGAGAAAAAUCAUAUGGCUAACAACUAAAAUCGGCAAAGAGAGUGUGAGAAGAUCUUUUGAGGAGGCAGAGAGUUGUGCUAGAUCCGUGAUAUAUGGACAGAAAGCGCUCGUUUGCUGGACUUGAGGUUAAAUUUAUAAAAAGUAUCCUGACGCCAACUGACAGUCCUUUCAACAUUAUUACGUUAAUUAUUAAAUACAAAUUUAAAAUAUCAGUUUUCGUUGACGCCUUGAAUUCAUCAAUUACAUUUACCAUUUGACAUUAAAUAUUUUUUUAUAUAUAAGUUUUGUUUAGUUACUUUUAUGUUGGGAAUUCAAACUUUUAGAAAAUUUAAAAUGUAUAUAUUUUUUUAAUUGGAAAACUAAAUUUAUUGCUUUAUGAUCAAAUAAUAUGUUUUAAUUGAAUCGCCUUAAAAUGAACUGAAACUUGGUAAAAGAAGGUUACUUGAGGAAUGUAUAUUAAAAAAAAAAAACUCAAAAAAUCCAGAAAGCGCUUCCGACAACAAGGUGUUGGUUGAACAUAAUUUUUGGCUGGAUAUAUAAAUUAAUGUAAUAUUAUUGUAAAAAUUUUACGUGCAUUUUGGUUAUAUUGGCAUAUUUUGUUGUUGGAAAACAUUUACCAGCUAAAAUAGCAGAAAUUGGGACUACUAUUCAAACAUAAUCAGAUAACAGAAAUAAAAAGCACGUUAUUUAUUUAUCAUUUGAGUACGUAUGGAGAAAUGAUUGGCAUCAUAGAUAAUUGUAUUAAAGGUGAACAUUUUUAAAACAUUUUAGUGGCACUCGCUUUGUUGUGCUCAGUGCACAUAAAAUCCAUUGGAAAUCGCUGCACCUUUUUGGCAUUUGAUUAUACACAUUUUAAAUGCGCUCAAAAAUAAAAAGAAAAACAUUGAAA
rnacentral:misc_RNA from 1 species